UGAGGAAUAUUGGUCAAUGGGCGCAAGCCUGAACCAGCCAAGUAGCGUGAAGGAUGACUGCCCUAUGGGUUGUAAACUUCUUUUAUACGGGAACAAACCUUGGUACGCGUACCAAAUUGCGUGUACCGUAUGAAUAAGCAUCGGCUAACUCCGUGCCAGCAGCCGCGGUAAUACGGAGGAUGCGAGCGUUAUCCGGAUUUAUUGGGUUUAAAGGGAGCGUAGGUGGUCUGUUAAGCCAGCUGUGAAAUACUGUAGCUCAACUACAGCCGUGCAGUUGGAACUGGCAGACUUGAGUGCACUAGAGGAAGGUGGAAUUCGUGGUGUAGCGGUGAAAUGUUUAGAUAUCACGAAGAACUCCGAUUGCGAAGGCAGCCUUCUGGAGUGUAACUGACACUGAGGCUCGAAAGUGUGGGUAUCGAACAGG
rnacentral:rRNA from 2 species